AGAAAUAUAAGAAACUCAUAUUACUUAUAUUAUCAACAAUAUAAUACAAAAAAAAAUUAAACAUCACUAACAUUAAAAUAUUAAAAUUAUUGCAUAAUCCAUAAUUUAUUUAUUUUUUAAAGAACAACACACAAUAACCCAUUAUUACCCGAUCACCCAAAACCCAAAAAAUAAAAAUAAAAAGUUCCCAAAAUCCCCCAAGCCCUAAGCCCUAAGCCCUAAGCCUCAACCCCCUUCCCUUUUUUU
rnacentral:lncRNA from 1 species